GACGAACGCUGGCGGCGUGCUUAACACAUGCAAGUCGAACGGAAAGGCCCUGCUCUUGUGGGGUGCUCGAGUGGCGAACGGGUGAGUAACACGUGAGUAACCUGCCCCUGACUUUGGGAUAACUUCAGGAAACUGGGGCUAAUACCGGAUAGGAGCUCUUGCUGCACGGUGGGGGUUGGAAAGUUUCGGCGGUUGGGGAUGGACUCGCGGCUUAUCAGCUUGUUGGUGGGGUAGUGGCUUACCAAGGUUUUGACGGGUAGCCGGCCUGAGAGGGUGACCGGCCACAUUGGGACUGAGAUACGGACCAGACUCCUACGGGAGGCAGCAGUGGGGAAUAUUGCACAAUGGGCGGAAGCCUGAUACAGCGACGCCGCGUGCGGGAUGACGGCCUUCGGGUUGUAAACCGCUUUCGCCUGUGACGAAGCGUGAGUGACGGUAAUGGGUAAAGAAGCACCGGCUAACUACGUG
rnacentral:rRNA from 1 species